rnacentral:rRNA from 1 species
AUUGAACGCUGGCGGCAGGCCUAACACAUGCAAGUCGAACGAGUGGCGGACGGGGGAGUAAUGGCUGGGAAACUGCCUGAUGGAGGGGGAUAACUACUGGAAACGGUAGCUAAUACCGCAUACAAUCGGAUGUGCCCAGAUGGGAUUAGCUAGUAGGGGGGGUAACGUCUCACCUAGGCGACGAUCCCUAGCUGGUCUGAGGGGAUGACCAGCCACCCGGGAACUGAGGCACAGUCGAGACUCCGACGGGAGGCAGCAGGGGGGAAUAUUGCACAAGGGGGGCGAGCCUGAUGCAGCCAUACCGCGUGUAUGAAGAAGGCCCUCGGGUUGUAAAGUACUGUCAGCAGGGAGGCGUUACCCGCGAAAGAAGCACCGGCUAACUCCGUGCCAGCAGCCGCGGUAAUAC